CCUACGGGGGGCAGCAGUGAGGAAUAUUGGUCAAUGGGCGCGAGCCUGAACCAGCCAAGUCGCGUGAGGGAUGAAGGUUCUAUGGAUCGUAAACCUCUUUUAUAAGGGAAUAAAGUGUGGGACGUGUCCUAUUUUGUAUGUACCUUAUGAAUAAGGAUCGGCUAACUCCGUGCCAGCAGCCGCGGUAAUACGGAGGAUGCGAGCGUUAUCCGGAUUUAUUGGGUUUAAAGGGUGCGCAGGCGGAUUUUUAAGUCAGCGGUCAAAUCGUGGGGCUCAACCCCAUCCAGCCGUUGAAACUGGGGAUCUAGAGUGUGCGAGAGGUAUGCGGAAUGCGUGGUGUAGCGGUGAAAUGCAUAGAUAUCACGCAGAACCCCGAUUGCGAAGGCAGCAUACCGGUGCACAACUGACGCUCAGGCACGAAAGCGUGGGUAUCGAACAGGAUUAGAUACCCUUGUAGUC
rnacentral:rRNA from 1 species